rnacentral:lncRNA from 1 species
UAAAUUCAUAAACAGAUGGGUAUAAAGUAUCCUGACGAGUGUGGCUCUCACUAGCAGCAGCAGAAUAUGCAGAAAGGCAUAAUAAAGAACUCACAUUACCCCACUGAGUCACAGUUUUUACCGAUUUGAGGCACGGGAAGCCCGGCUCAGUGUUGAUAAAAGAAGCGGUGUUUCUAUGUCCGCAGCAGCAACUUGGUGAAAAUGAAAUCCACCCCGCAACCGUGCUGCUGGCUGGGCCCCUGCGGGAGGCCAGGGAGAACCCGGGCUGCUACUCUGCUUCCCCCUGGAUGAUUAUCUGGUAAACUCUUUUCCUGUGGUCUAGUGUUUGCCAACGUCCCCGGUGU